GCAGGUAUAGCUCAGUGGUAAAGCACAUGCCUAGCAUGCACAAGGUCCUGGGUUCAAUCCCCAGUACCUCCU
rnacentral:tRNA from 1 species